UACGUAGGGGGCAAGCGUUGUCCGGAUUUAUUGGGCGUAAAGAGCGUGUAGGCGGCCAGGCAGGUCCGCUGUGAAAACUCGAGGCUCAACCUCGAGAGGUCGGUGGAAACCGUCUGGCUAGAGUCCGGAAGAGGAGAGUGGAAUUCCCGGUGUAGCGGUGAAAUGCGCAGAUAUCGGGAAGAACACCCGUGGCGAAGGCGGCUCUCUGGGCCGGUACUGACGCUGAGGAGCGAAAGCGUGGGGAGCAAACAGG
rnacentral:rRNA from 1 species